rnacentral:sRNA from 1 species
UGGACACUGUGUGAAAGGAAUGGAAAAUUUGGAACUCAUUGCUUUCCUCUGAAGAAAUAUAUUAAUAGUAAAUAUUAUAUAUAUAUCAAAUAAAACAUGCUUACUCUGUGUCUGUAUGUGUGUGUGUGUGUGUGUGUGUGUGCAUGUGUGUUCCAA